rnacentral:rRNA from 1 species
UACGGAGGGGACUAGCGUUGUUCGGAAUUACUGGGCGUAAAGCGCACGUAGGCGGAUUUGUAAGUCAGGGGUGAAAUCCCGGGGCUCAACCUCGGAACUGCCUUUGAUACUGCAAAUCUCGAGUCCGGAAGAGGUGAGUGGAAUUCCUAGUGUAGAGGUGAAAUUCGUAGAUAUUAGGAAGAACACCCGUGGCGAAGGCGGCUCUCUGGGACGGUACUGACGCUGAGACGCGAAAAGCGUGGGGGAGCGAACAGG